AGGAGACGCACAGCAUGCCGGGAAUGAGCAGGCCCCUGUUCUUCGGAACAAACCAUCUGGAGAAAGAGCUGGAAUGGAGCCCAUCAGUGGUGCUUCACUGCUUCAGGAAGAUGCAUGGCUCAGCAGGACACACAGGGCUCAGCAGGUCACAGCCAUAGGUAAGCAACCAAAGCACCCUAGACCCCACCACCUCUUUGAAUAAAAUUACCCAGUCAUGCCAGGCUUCUCACCUUUCCCAGAAGGAGUAGUACUUCACACACACACACACACACACACACACAUGCACGUGUACACACAUAUAUACAAACACAUUCAGACACAUACGCAUGCACAUACACAACACACACAUGCACGCUACACAUACACAUACAUACACACAUAUACAGAUACACACAUACACACACGCACAUACACACACACUACACAUACGCACACACACACACAUAUAUGCAUGCGUGCAUCCCUCUUUCUGUGGCAUCCCUGACUUUUUGGAGAUUGAGUCAUUUAAUUAUUUGUUUAAAUGGCUUUGUAAAUGUUCUAAUGUCCAGAAUAUUUGCUAGACAAUAACAACGUUUUCCAUGGUUUAUUAAGUAAAUAAUUGUCCUAAUAGAAAUAUAAAUUGUUACAGAAGUGCAUAAAAUGAAAUUAUUUUUCCAAAUGGAGUUAAAUAAGAGUAUAUUGAAGGAAUUAUAUAUAUUAACCUUGUCUUCAAAAAUGAGUAGAUUCUCACGGGCAAAGACGAGAGGAUGGAUAAACAAGGAUUUGCCAAGGAGAAGAGGCCAAUGUCAUAUUUUCUCCCUCAGUGUGUCCGGAUGGGAUUGGAAAGUCUCCCUGGCCCACAUAGGUAAGAAUUCUGUUGCUCAUCUUCUGCACACCCCACCUCUAUUCUCCCUCACUUACUCAAGCCUAGGUUUAUCCAAGCCAGCCAAGUGGCCAGGUAGAUAAUUGUAUUUCUUAAAUUCUUUUGAAGUUAUGCCUGCCUACUUAACACAUCUCUGGAAGAAGGCAUACUGAGAUUUCCGAGAAAACAUUGCUUUCUGUACAUGGAUGUUGCCUUCUCUUUUACUGUAUCUCCUUCCCUUCUUUGGCAAGUUGUCAAAGCAUGGUGGAUGAUACAGUGGAUAAAAGAGGCUGCAGUAUGAGCUGAUAAAAUGAUAUCAGCAAUAAACUGUAUGCAUAGUUCUUGUUACUAAAAAAAAAAAAAGUCAUCAGAUUUGCUUAAUUUACUGUUUGUUUUUUACAAAAAAAACAGUUUUUGACCAAAACAAGUUGAUAAUAGAUAUUGCCAUAGACUAAGAAAAAAGACAUGUAAUACUCCAGUUAAUAAAAUAUUUGGAGAUGCAUUUAGCAACUUCUAGUUUUACUAGUAGCCUAGUUACUGUCUUGGGGACCCACCAAUCAGCUGAUAAUGUGUGUGAAAUAUGAAGAAGUAUAUUGACAAAACAUACCGGUGAUUGAUUUUGGCCCAACAUCAAACUAAUAGCACAUUGAAAACAGGGUAUCAAGAGUCAGUAAUGAAGGUCUUUUUGACAAAAGCUAGAAGACGUUGUAUCAGUGUUAAUAUUUACCAUCCCUUAUAUGAAUACACGGAUUGAUACAUAGAAUCACAAUAGAACCUGGAUUCACUAUGACCCAACCAAUCAGAUCACUCAGUUUUGGAGAAUAAACUUUUUGAGGAAAAUUUGAAACUGCUGGCUGUAAUAAGUAUUUAGCCAGUAGUUUCAAAGAUUUUGGUGUGUAUCACCCUAUCUUCGGAAAGCAAAUAAUGUAACCAUCUUAACUAAAAGAAAAUUAAAUCAAUAAGCAUUUUGCAUGAGAAGCAUGCAGUUGGGUGCUGAAUUUGAAUGUGUGAAGCACUCUACAGCAGAGAGAAAAUGUUAAGUACACUUUUAAAAACCAGGUACAGUGUCAUCAGGAGAAAGGGCAAUUCCAUGCUACUAAAUACAAUCAAAUCAAAACCCGAGAACACAUAGCAAGAAGAUCUUAAACCUGAAGACAAGUCCUUAGAUGCUUCUGGCAUUGCCUCUACUCACACACCAAGUGGGUGUGGUGGUGCCUGGUUCAUAUCUUCGGGAACUCUCUUUCUUAGGACUACAAUGUGUUUUCUCAGUUUGCCAAAGGAUGCCGUCUGCCUGCAGGUGCGCUGUGGGUUCAACUCUGACCCCUGAUGCUGCCUUUUUUAGGGUGUUUCCUCUGCCCCAAGGGUUGGACCAAUGGGAACUUCUUUCUGGAGAUCCCUUGCCAGUUGGGUUUGUUUAUAACCCACCAAUGAGAAGCUUUGAAGAUAUUUCAAAGAUGAAAGAGAAGCAGAAGCCACAUUGUGACUCCCCCAAAGGCACAGGAGGAAUGGUCAAGACUCAACAGACAGGAGAAUGUGGAGCAAGCUGGGGCUUCCCUGCAGGGCUUGGAUGAUCUCUGCUGCUCUCCUGUGGCUUCUGUAGUUUCCCGGUGCUCUGCAAGUGAUCAGCCAACGUAAGGUGAUGCCUUGGAAUUCCUCAACUCUUUUAUUGCUUUUGUGGGCACCACAUUUCCUGUGUUAGAGUCCCUCCUGCUCAAGAUACCAAAAGUGACACCACCCUAAGAUAGGGAACCACAGACCUUGAACUGCCUUGAAUACCCUCAAAAUGACCAAGUGUUGAGGAUUUCAUUUACUCACUGAAAUUCCUUACUUUGACUGAAAUCUACUGCAUCGUUAUUUUUUAGUAAAUUUCUCAUUGUUAAAUAAUGGUAAUUAAAUCCACCAUGUAAGCCAUAGAGGAAAAUAAUUUCAGUAUACUUUAGUAUCAUAUUAACAGAAAAUAAAUGCAUGGACCUUCAAUGGAUCCAAUACUAGCCAUCAUUUAACCAACUGUCAAUAAAGAGGUGCUUGUGAUAUCAUUCUACCCAUAUGUGCCUUACUUAGCUUUUUGGGGAGGAGAUCGUGGAUAAAAUGUGCUAUUUUAGAAAUUAGAAGAUCCGACAAGGAUAGAAUUAUCCAUCUAAAUGGCUCAUUUAAUAACUCCAGUGGAGGUCCUUGAAGACUAUUUCUCUUCACUCUACUUCCUUAUUUUGCUCCAAAAAAAAUCUGGCUUAAGACAGGUUCCUGAGAAGCAGAGUUUGAAAUAGAGGUGCUUGUGUAAAGGGUAUAUUGAGGAGUGCGGUCAGCAGAGACCAGUGAGAAAGCAAAAAAGCAGGACAAAGCAGGGGACUAAAAUACCCACAGUGGGGUGUAGACUGCAGCCUGGUUUAGCUGGCUCCCAUGCGAAGCCCCGGGGUGUGCACAGCAUCCCACAGCCUUUCCACCUUGAGACCAAGGGACUUCCAGACCUUCUUGUCAGUUUGCUAUAGGCUGUAGGGUGCCCCUAAUUGGAAAUGGACACAAUCUCCCAAGCAUUUCUCAGGAGUCAGCCCAUGCCAGAGUGAGGGCAACUGUCUGGGAAAAAUUUUUUAAAGCAGCUAUGAGUGGUUAGUACUUAAAACUCACAACAGCUGAGGCCUGGAGUUAGGGUCCCUUGAAGGGAAUCAAGGCAAGUCACUAUAACGUUAAUCCACUAUCAGAGUCAUUGCUGUUUUUGAAGAAAUUGCAUGUGUUUCUACAGCCUAGGCAUCAAAAGGACAUGAAAGAUGAGCUCAUAGGUGUUCCUGAUUCUUCUUUCUCCAUCAUCCUAUUUAUUACUGAUUAUUUGAUGCCUCCACUUUACUUUGUUUUUCUCCUCUGAUGUCUUUAUGUAAGCAUAAGGAAAUGCAAAUACACAGCCGCAUGCACCCUUUGCUUUCCUUCUGUGCAGGAUCCAGGACAGCACAGCAUGUCGGAGUUCACUGCUCACUGUUCACUGUGAUGUCAGCCCAUCUGCAUUGCCAUAAAGUAAUCUCUAAGACUGAGUGAUUGAUGAAGAACACAGGUUUGUUUUGGCUCAUGGUUCUGCAGGCCAUAUAGGAAGCACAGUGCUGGUAUCUGCUACUGGUGAAGCCUCAGGAGGAUUCCAGUCAUGGCAGAAGGCAAAGGGAGAGCCAGCAUGUCCCACAGUGAGAGAGAGAGCAAGAUAGAGAGUGAGGGAGAGCCAGCGUCCUUUAAACAACCAGGGCUUGCAUAGACUUACAGAGUGAGAACUCACUGGCUUCCAUGGAGUGAGUGCCAAGCCAUUCGUGGGGAUCCACCCACAUGACCAAAUGCCUCCCGUCAGGCCCCACCUCCAACACUGGAGAUCACAUUUCAACAUGAGACUUGGAGGGGACAGAUACCCAAACAAUGUCAUAUGCUUUGCUUUUCUCACGUGCGACUAUAUUCUAGAAGUCUUUCCAUGUCAGUACACAGAGACUAUCCCCAUUAUUUCAGCUGUGCCAAGGAAACAUCAUUGACCGAGAUAGCCAUUUCUCACUGGACUGUCACUGUAGAGACAUUAGCUCAUCCAUGUUCGUAAAACUCCAUUCACGUGGACACACAUCGUGUGUUAGUGCUGCUUCAUCAGAUAUCAUGUUAGCAAGCAGCCAGUGCAAAAAAAAAACUCAACCUACGUGAAGCACCAACAUAUUGGCCAUCCUGGAUGUGUGUUGUGAAAUCAGGUGCAUGUGACGUAGACAUACCUGUGAAAAAUUGCAUUUUAGAUGUAUUUGUUAAUGAAACUACAAAUAAUGUUAAAAUUUUUAAUGCAACUCAAAAAUAGUCCAACAGAUGGACUGUGCAACGAAGGAAUAGAAAUAAAUAAAAAUCAUGAAAUGUCUCAUUGUUCUUCCCUGCUAUGAAUAAAAACAAGAAUUUUGAAACACUACAGUAUGCUCAUGUCAUAAAACAUAGUUCAAUUUAUGUCAAUUGAAUGUAAUAGUCUUCUGAUUGGCUUACAUCCCAUUAUAUUAAACUUCAUUUGUAUCUAUCUCCGACCUUUGAUAAAUCAGCUCUUGGCAAAAGCCUAAGGAUAAGGGAUACUUUAUGAUACACCAUCACAGAACACCUGAUCCGACUGGUUUUCUCUUGUGCAGCCAUAAACCAAAUUCCUAUUGAUGACUGAUACAAGUGAAAUUUUACUGCACUAUGUUCAUCUUUAUAUUCUGUGAUGAAGAAAACAUCCUGAUCUAUGAAAGAUAAAUAUGCUUAUUUUGCGAUUCUUAUCAACAUGUAUCACAUUGAAUAGAAACAGUAAUAAUUAAUAAUAAUAAUAAAGUGCCAAUAUGUGUAUAUUCUCAAGUUAGUGCAAAAUGUAUCUUACUGAAAAUUGCUUGAAUUAGAAAAGCAAGCCAAGAGGGCCUCUUCCUCUCUGGGGUAUUGCAGUCUUUAAAAAGCUUGAGACUGUGGAACUUGAUACUAUUCAUCCUCCUUUUUGACCUUAGCCAAGAAAACCUUCUUACAUGCUUGUCUCUUGCCCAAGUAGAUUAAUGAAUUCAGGAUAUAAUAGAUCCCUGAAGUGAUUUGCAUGUAUUGAUUAAAUGUCAUGAGUAAAAUGCUGGAGGUUGAAUUACUAGAGACACAGGAAGUGCAGAAAGCACAAUUGUAAGCAUUGUUCAAAUAAAUUACUUGGCAAUUCUUCUUGA